CUACGGGUCGCUGCAGCAGUGAAUCUUUUGCAAUGCGCGCAAGCGUGACAAAGCAAGCCAAAGUGCUUUUCGCACGAAAAGCUUUUCUUUACUGUAAAAAGGUAGAGGAAUAAGGACUGGGAAAGACUGGUGCCAGCCGCCGCGGUAAUACCAGCAGUUCAAGUUGCAACCAUCAUUAUUGGGUCUAAAACAUCCGUAGCUUGUUUGAUAAGUUUCUUGUGAAAUCUCAUAUCUCAAAUAUGGGGCGUGCAAGAAAUACUAUCUAGCUAGAGACUGGGAGAUGUAAGGAGUACGUCCGAGGUAACGGUAAAAUGUGUUAAUCUUGGGUGGACUAACAAUUAGCGAAGGCACCUUACAAGAACAGAUCUGACAGUGAGGGAUGAAGGCCAGGGGCGCAAAACGGAUUAGAUACCCCUGUAGUC
rnacentral:rRNA from 1 species